rnacentral:rRNA from 1 species
GAUGAACGCUAGCGGCAGGCCUAAUACAUGCAAGUCGAACGGGAUUGAGGCGCUUGCUCCUCAUGAGAGUGGCGCACGGGGGGGUAACACGUAUGUAACCUCACUUAAUUAGGGGAAUAGCCUCUCGAAAGAGAGAUUAACACCGCAUAAAAUCUCACUAUGGCAUCACAGAAUGGCCAGAUAUUAAUUGGAAUAAGGUGGGCAUGCGGAACAUUAGCUAGUUGGUAAGGUAACGGCUUACCAAGGAUACGAUGUUUAGGGGAGAGGAGAGGAUGGCCCACCACACUGGAACUGAGACACGGACCAGACUCCUACGGGAGACAGCAGUAAGGAAUAUUGGUCAAUGGGCGGAAGCCUGAACCAGCCAUGCCGCGUGCAGGAAGACGGGCCUACGGGUUGUAAACUGCUUUUGUACCAGAAUAAACCUUUCUACGUGUAAGAAGCUGAAUGUACGGUAAGAAUAAGGAUCGGCUAACUCCGUGCCAGCCGCCGCUGUAA